rnacentral:lncRNA from 1 species
UGAUCCCAGGAGAAAACAUUCUACUCCUCAACAUGGGUCUUGCCUGAUUCAUUUACCAACUAUGACAAGCUCGUGGCACAGAGGAAAAUGGACAUAAGGUAGCGGUAACAGGCUGGCGACUGUGGCUUUUACACAUUGCUUCACACAACCCUGUCCAGGAGUUUUACACACUCACUAAACAAACAGAAGACACCAUCCAAUUCACUGGAGCCCCGUUGGAUAAAUACGGAAAGAAUGUGGGAGCUAUGUCAUGAACCACAAUGGUUUUGUGUUCUGUGUAAUUUGAAGACGAGAUUCCUUUGCUGUGUGUCACCUCCCAUAUUACCACUGUCGCCCAACAUUUCAUAACCAUCAACUCUUUGCCAGUGCCCACAUGCAAAGAUGGGUUUGUAUUAAAAAAUAAAUGAGAACAGCACAUUCUGAUGUGGUGUAGUAUAUCAGCAUUUUCCAUGAAACCUCGUCUCCGGCCUUCCCCUUUUAGGAAACAAAGGACCCGUGACAGAGCCUACUUAUCCCGUUACAGCUCCUGGUGAGAAGGGCGAAGCCAUGUCAGAAAUAAUAGAAAAGGCUUUUUCCUUUGAAAUAUCUAAACGUUCAAAGAUGGGAACAGCCGCAGGGGGGAGAAUACUGUGCUAUGCAAGUUGAUCUGAUUUUGUGGACCAUCCAUUUCCAAUUGGGAAGCUCACUUACUUUCAACUUGAAGCAUCAGAAAACCAGACUUACAGCAGCUUCAGCCUAUAGGGGUUUAUUUUUCUCAUGUAACAAGAAGAACAGAAGUGGACAGAGGCCGAGUUCUCAAGGACUCAGUUUCUUUCUGUCCCACCAACCUUACCAUGUUGGAUUGUCAUCUUUGUGCUUGUUGCCUCAUGAUGGCAAGAUGGCUGCAGCACCUCUGGGACUCACGACUGAUUUUUAAGACUACAGAGCCUAAGUCAAAGCUUGUUCUUGGACCCAGGAAAUAUGUCAAAUCCUUCCAGUGAAUGGUGCCUUUCAGGAUUGGAGACUACUCCCCCAGUUGCUGAUGGUGUGGUCAGCCCUCAGUUUUCAGUCCUCUUUGGGAAUUGCCUUGGAUGAAGAAAGUCACCUCACCCAAGAUCACUCCAACUCCUGGGACCCACAUCCAAUGAUUGGCCAAUAUGGGGACUCAAAGGCCUGGUCCCCCUUCCCCAACUUGAGACUACUCUGAAGGAUCACCCAGCUUCAGAGCUUCCCAUGGUUGAGACUUUUAGACUUCACUGUGGUCCAACCAAUCUCUUCCUAUACACGGUCCUGACUCCUUCACUUCCCUCCCAGCACUUCUUCUGUGUUAAUAUCAAACUUCUGUGCUAAUAACAAACUUCUUCCGUGCUAAUAUCUCUCAGUGUCUCCUUCCCUGGGAACUCAACCCUAGAUUGUUUAUACCAGCAGUGAUCCAAGAAAGAGAUGCCAACAUGAGAUUUUGGAAUUGGAUCACCUACCAUCCAGCUGGCAGUGCAGACCCCAUCAGUGGCAGUAGAAGAAGUACAUAUAGUCCGUAGCACAAGAUAGCAGUGAAAUUGUUAAAACUUUUGCC